rnacentral:misc_RNA from 1 species
CCCUCCUUGGUAUGCAUGUGAGCGUCGCAUGAUGCCCUAAGACUCCGUUGAGAUAAAAGAGAAAAGUGCAGUGUGAAAUUUCAUGACCUAGGCCUCCGACGAGUAACUCACGUGGCGAGCUAAGUUAUGUGAAUAUUAGAAUAAAGUUCUUUGUAAUACCUCAACAAAUCCUUUCCAUACUUUAACAACGAAUAUAAAAGGCUCUACUACAGAAAUACGAAAGCUAAAAAACUUUAUCUCCUGAUUUUAAUUGAACUCGAAAAGGCGAUAUUACGGGGUAAUGUUGAUAGUUUAAAAAAGUUAAGUAAUGUUAUUGAUUGUAUAAGUAGUAUAGAAGAUCAAAUAAUUUUGAGAGAUUAUUAUAAUAGUUUUAACAACCCUAUUAAAAAUACUAACUUAGUUAUCUUAGCAUAUAAACACAAUAAAGUAAAAAUUUUAGAAUAUUUAUUUGGUAAUGACAGUAAAAUUCUAAAUAAUCUAUCUGUUGAUAUUGGGAAGAGCACUGUGCUACCAAAUGAUGAAAAUGAAGUAUGCCAUAAUAUAUUGUACUAUGCUAUACGUUCAGGCAAUAUUCAUCUUCUUGAUACACUCAUCAAUAAAUGGCCAGAUGCAAGUACGUGCGUUGGAAUAAGGAGGACGCGGUGUCGAGCGAAAGUAUUCAACGAAUGGCUCGGAAAACACGGAAGAACAAUACGGCCGAGAAAAAAGCUCGAUUGUUAUGCAAGCAAACAACCGUUGAUGAUUGUUACGUUCUCGGUGAAUACAAGAUUAAAAGUAAAGUACAUAUGUAGCAUACGGGAUGGAUCGAAGUAAGCGGAAACCCUAGUUCGGGCUUCUAUAGAUAUUUGAUUACACGCUCUAAUUCGGCAAGCAUGUAGAUCUCCGUCUCUGAAACGUAUCGCGGUAUCGCGAUACGAAACUGUAUACGAGAGGCUUGCUCGAAGGUGAUACGGAGGAACGAAAAGGGAAAGCAGCCAGCCAGCAGUAGACAGAUAUCGAGUAUCUCUCGUUCUCACAAAUCUUCAAUGUCCCUAAUCCACGUGGUGGCGGGUUGGCCGUGAACGAAACGGCGCUACAAUAAAAUAGGAACGAGUGAAUGAGCAAAUACUACGCCGAACGCGUGAGAGUACGCCCUCCAUUCAGUGACGCCACCAUAUUGCUCCCACCUGUUAUAUCCGUCAGUACUUUAUCUUUCCUUGGCCGUAUUAACGUUACCGCACCACCCACCCCUUAGUCUCACUCGACCGAUUUGCAGAGCACUUUAUUUCCAAGAAGAAUCCACUCGUUUGUCGGCCGUUCGAAUAAAAAGGUAACCAUCUUCCGCGUGAAAAUCGUACUCGUCAGGUAAAAGACCCUUCACUUCCUUUUUCCUUUUACAAUUUAUUUGUCGAUUGCCGCUCUUUAUUUUCAUCAUUAUUACUCCCUCUUCGUCUCCUGGGCGUGCGUAGAUAAUGAUUAUUCCCCGUCGUAAAAUGUAAAAGCAGAUCGUGCCCGGUUUAACCUGAGCGUGACGAAUAAAUAUUUACGGUGCAGCUGUACAACGACAAUAGUGCAAUAUACUCGUGCUACGUAGCAUAUGAUAUAUAGAUACGAUAAUAAACGGAGAAAGUAUUUUUAGCUUCGGGCAACGUCCCUUUCGUGUACUUCUAACGAUUCUAUUGCUUCGUUUCGGAUUCGAUAAACCUGAACGAACGUCCUACCGUAGAACGUCCUGCCUUGUGUGCAUCAGGCGUGUCGUUGUCCUAAUGGAAAGAUGAGUAUCUCGAAAUUAAAUAUGACUCGUGUUUGGUGCACCGACUUGCUCCGAAUCGG